AGUACGGCGAGUGAAGCGGUAAAAGCUCAAAUUUGAAAUCUGGUACUUUCAGUGCCCGAGUUGUAAUUUGUAGAAUUUGUCUUUGAUUAGGUCCUUGUCUAUGUUCCUUGGAACAGGACGUCAUAGAGGGUGAGAAUCCCGUUUGGCGAGGAUACCUUUUCUCUGUAAGACUUUUUCGAAGAGUCGAGUUGUUUGGGAAUGCAGCUCAAAGUGGGUGGUAAAUUCCAUCUAAAGCUAAAUAUUGGCGAGAGACCGAUAGCGAACAAGUACAGUGAUGGAAAGAUGAAAAGAACUUUGAAAAGAGAGUGAAAAAGUACGUGAAAUUGUUGAAAGGGAAGGGCAUUUGAUCAGACAUGGUGUUUUUUGCAUGCACUCGCCUCUCGUGGGCUUGGGCCUCUCAAAAAUUUCACUGGGCCAACAUCAAUUCUGGCAGUAGGAUAAAUCAUUAAGAAUGUAGCUACCUCGGUAGUGUUAUAGCUUAUUGGAAUACUGCUAGCUGGGAUUGAGGACUGCGCUUCGGCAAGGAUGUUGGCAUAAUGGUUAAAUGCCGCCCGUCUUGAACACGGACCAAAA
rnacentral:rRNA from 1 species